GGGGGUAAAUUAAUUAAGAUAAAAUUAAUAAAAAAAUUUUUAAAAUGAAAAUAUUUAAUGGGGGUUAAAGUAUUUUUUAUGGAAAAAAUUAAAAUUUUUAUAGCUAAUUAGUAUUGUAAAAUAAAUUUGAAAUAAAUUUGAAAAUUAAUUUAGGGUAAAGUAGAUUUAAUUUAUUGUAUCUUGUGUAUCAGAGUUUAUUAAAAAUUUUUUAUUUUUUAAAUUUCUCGAAUUUAAAAGAGUUAAUUAAUUAAAAAAUUUAUUGUUUCAUAAAUAUUUAAAAUAAUUAAUUUGAAAUGAAAUGUUAAUCGUUUUUAAAUAUAUCUAGUUUUUUAAGAAAAAAAUUUAAUUUUUAAUUAAAUUUCAAAAUAAAUUAAAUAUAUUUAAUUUAUUUUGAAAUUUAAUUAAAUAAUUUAAGGGAUAAGCUUUAAAUUAAAUUAUUAUAAUAAUAUAAUUUAAAUUUUGAAAAUUUUAUAAUUUAUAUUGUUAAUAAAUUUUAAUUUAUUAUAAAUAAUUUCAAUAAAAUUAAAAAUUUAAAUAAAAAAAUUUAAUAUUUUUAUUAAAAAAUAUUUUUUAAUAAAUUAUAAAUAGUUAUAAUGAUAAAAUUAGUAUAUAAAUUAAUAUAAUAAUUAAAAAUUUAUAAUAAUUAUUUUAAAGGAAUUCGACAAAAUAAUUAAAUUAUAUUCACCUGUUUAUCAAAAACAUGUCUUUUUGGUAAAUAAUUUAAAGUCUAAUCUGCCCACUGAUUAAAUAAAAUUAAAGGGCUGCAGUAUAUUGACUGUACAAAGGUAGCAUAAUCAUUAGUCUCUUAAUUGGUGACUUGUAUGAAAGAUUGGAUGAAAUAUAAAUUGUCUCUAAAAUAUAAAAUUGAAUUUAAUUUUUGAGUUAAAAAGCUCAAAUAAAUUAAAAAGACGAGAAGACCCUAUAGAGUUUUAUAUUUAUAAAAUUAUGAAUUAUAAAUUUAGAUUAAUAAUUAAUAAUUUAUUAAUUAUUUUAUUGGGGUGAUAAAAAAAUUUAAUUAACUUUUUUUUAAAUAAAACAUAAAUAAGUGAUUUUUUGAUCCAAUUAUAUUGAUUAUAAGAAAAAAUUACCUUAGGGAUAACAGCGUAAUUUUUUUUUUUAGUUCAAAUAAAAAAAAAAGUUUGCGACCUCGAUGUUGGAUUAAGAUAAAAUUUAAAUGCAAAAGUUUAAAAAUUUUGAUCUGUUCGAUCAUUAAAAUCUUACAUGAUCUGAGUUCAAACCGGUGUAAGCCAGGUUGGUUUCUAUCUUUUAAGAAUAUUUAAUAUUUUAGUACGAAAGGAUCAAAUAUUAUAAUUAAAUUAAUUUAGUUGAAUGUUAUUAAGUUAUAAAUAAAUUUAUA
rnacentral:rRNA from 1 species